GUGAUGGUGGCUUGCAUGAUUUAAUUUAUUUUAGUUUUUCUUAAAACUCUAACUUUGUUUUCAAAUGUAUCUUUCUUGUCUUUUCAUACUCGAGGUGCUUGAAGUGCUGUGGAAGCAUGCAGAAUACUGGAGGUGCUUGAGGUGCUGUAGAAGCAUGCAGAAUACUGGAGGUGCUUGAAGUGCUGCGGAAGCAUGCAGAAUACUCGAGGUUCUUUAAGUGCUGUGGAAGCACGCAUACUCCACCUUUUGCAGAGAAACAGAGGAAGACAGUAGAGUGAGAAAUCAGAACCGAAUAAUCUCUGGGGGCGGCGGCGAUUCGACCGACUGAAAGUUGUGAUUAGCGCAAUGGCGGUGACAGAAGGUGAUGUUCAUACACAAGAAGACUACUUUGACGUCCUCACCAAAACCGGCCAGAAGACCGGCAUUUCCAAGCCCAGGGGAGAUGUUCAUCGAGACGGGGAUUACCAUCGAGCUGUUCAUGUGUGGAUUUUUGCUGAGAGUACACAAGAGCUGCUUAUCCAAAACCGUUACUACUGCAAGGAUUCGUGGGCGGGACGGUGGGAUAUCUCAAGUGCUGGACACAUAUAUGCUGGUGAUUCGUCACUUACAACAGCUCGGAGGGAGCUUCAAGAAGAGCUGGGUAUAGUACUUCCAAGGGAUGCAUUUGAAAUGCUAUUCGUUUAUCUUGAAGAGUGUGUGAUAAAUGAUGGAAAAUUCAUUAACAAUGAAUUCAAUGAUGUAUAUUUGGUAACCACUGUGAAUCCAAUCCCUCUCGAAGCAUUUACUCUUCAGGAAACGGAAGUCUCUGCUGUUAAAUAUAUUUCUUAUGAGGACUAUAGAAACUUACUUGCUAAAGAAGACCCUGAUUUCGUCCCCUACGACGUAAAUGGGCAAUAUGGUCAGCUUUUUGACAUAAUUGCACGGAGGUACAAGGAGAACACUAUAGGUCGAAGUUUAACACUACAAAAGCAACUCCAACGUUAUGCUCCUGUUACCCUCAGUGCCGAGUUAACAGGUCUUACAGAGGCAGACAGGGAGGCCCUGGUGUUACUAACUAAGGCUGCAGCAAUUAUAGAUCAAAUCUUUUACCUUCAGGUUUGGUGCUGUAAUCCAGUUCUAAGGGAUUGGUUGAAGAAGCAUGCGGAUGCAUCACAGUUAGACAAGUUGAAAUGGAUGUACUAUGUUAUUAAUAAGGGUCCAUGGUCGUCCCUUGAUGAAAAUGAGGCAUUUUUGACAACUGCAGAUUCGGCUAUAAAGUUGCUUCCUGAAGCAACAAAACGGGUUACUGGGUGGAAGGGACUUGAAUACAAAGCUGCGUUUCCUAUGCUGAAGCCUCCUGGUGCAAACUUCUAUCCGCCAGACAUGGACAAAGUGGAAUUUGAAUUGUGGAAGAAAAGCCUAACAGAGGACCAAAAACAAGCUGCAACAAGCUUUUUCACAGUUAUUAAAAGACAAAGCGAAUUAAGUCUGGAUUCAUCCUUGUAUGGCAGUACAGAUGAAGGCACAAGUCAUUCAGUGACAUCCACUCGUGAUCUAUAUAGUGUUCCUUUCUCCCAAGAGUAUAAUGCUUUCCUCACACAAGCAGCUGAGUUAUUGCAUAAAGCUGGUGAAUUGGCCAGUUCCCCCAGUUUGAAGAGAUUUUUUCACAGCAAGGCCGAUGCUUUCCUUUCAAAUGACUACUAUGACUCAGAUGUAGCCUGGAUGGAGUUGGACUCUAAGCUGGAUGUUACUAUUGGUCCGUAUGAAACAUAUGAAGAUGCUCUUUUUGGAUACAAGGCUACUUUUGAGGCAUUUAUUGGAGUUCGGGAUGACAAAGCAACUGCUCAAGUAAAGCUUUUUGGUGAUAAUUUGCAGGUUUUGGAACAAAAUCUGCCACUGGACAGUGUCUACAAGUCCAAAGAUCUGAUAUGUGCUUCUAUUCGAGUCAUCGAUCUUAUUUACAAUGCCGGAGAUGUCAAGGGUCCUCAAACUGUUGCUUUUAAUCUACCAAAUGACGAGCGUAUUGUAAAAGAUCGAGGAACAUCAUUGGUCAUGCUUAAGAAUAUCUCAGAGGCCAAGUUCAAGCACAUUCUUCUGCCUAUAGCCGAUGUUUGUAUUACAAAGGAACAACGGGAACUUGUAGAUUUUGAAUCUUUCUUCACUCACACAAUUUGCCAUGAGUGCUGCCAUGGGAUUGGACCUCAUAGCAUAACACUUCCAGAUGGUAGAAAGUCAACAGUGAGAUUGGAACUGCAAGAACUCCACUCAGCUCUGGAAGAAGCAAAAGCUGAUAUAGUUGGCCUUUGGGCAUUGAAGUUCCUAAUCCACAAGGACAUGCUCUCAAAGAGUUUAUUGAAGUCUAUGUAUGUUUCUUUUCUUGCUGGAUGCUUCCGCUCCGUACGGUUUGGUCUUGCAGAAGCUCAUGGAAAAGGACAAGCGUUGCAAUUUAACUGGUUGUAUGAGGAAGGAGCCUUUAUUUUGAAUCCUGAUGAAACAUUUUCUGUUGACUUUACCAAGGUUGAAGGUGCAGUUGAGAACCUGAGUAGGGCAAUACUCACCAUACAAGCAAAAGGUGACAAGGAGGCUGCAAAGGCACUGCUUCAGAAAUACUGCAUAAUGACGAACCCAAUAAAAGUUGCUCUGCAGAAAUUAGAGAAAAUUCAGGUCCCCGUGGAUAUAGUUCCCACAUUCCCGGUAAUUGAUAAAAUAUUGGAGCAAAGACAACAAAUGGAUCAUGAGACAGACAAGGCUUCGAUGACUUUUUAUCUCGCAGUAAUCUUGUUGAGUGGUGCGAUAAUUCUCAUUGCUAUGCUCUAUGAACUCCUCUGAGUUUGGGGACGCAUGGAUAAUAUACGGACUUGACCUAAACACAACAUGAGGUGAGGAUAUCAGCAGCUUUCAUAAAGAGCUCAUCAUCAUUCACAACUUCAGGCAUUCCUUCCAAAACUUCCAUCACUUCCUCAAUGCUACAACCAGGCUUAUCUUUGCUUUUAGAACAGUUGUUUAUAGCUUCUAAAAUACCAUCUAAUUGUUCUGUCAUCUUGGCCUCAAUUCCAACUCUUUUAGAAUAUCUUGUUCUUUUUGUUCCCUUUCCUUAUGUUGAAGGUUUAGCAAGGGAAGGUGUCUCAGCAUCAGCUAUGUCAUCAAGUCCAUCAUUAUUAUCUAUUUCAUUCUCCAAAUCAUCUUGACUGUUUUUUUGUUCACCUAUUGGAUCUUCCUAGACAUUAUUACUCAUCAACUCUUGUGAGGUUGCCCACGCACCUACACCUGUAACAGCUUCUCGUUCAAACAAAAUGUCCAAUUGGUCAACAUUUUCAGUCCACUAUUUCAAUAUUUUGCAACUUCAGGAUUCUCCUGAAAUAUUACCAACUACAAUUAACAAAUUGUGAUAAAA